CGCGUAGGCGGGCUUAUAAGUCUGAUGUGAAAGUGCGGAGCUUAACUCCGUAAAGCAUUGGAAACUGUAAGUCUUGAGGACAGGAGAGGAAAGUGGAAUUCCUAGUGCAGCGGUGAAAUGCGUAGAUAUUAGGAAGAACACCAGUGGCGAAGGCGACUUUCUGGACUGUAACUGACGCUGAGGCGCGAAAGCGUGGGGAGCAAACG
rnacentral:rRNA from 1 species